rnacentral:tRNA from 1 species
GCUUCCUUGGCUCAGUUGGUAGAGCGUUGGUCUCAUAUCUCAUAUGAGUAGUCACGUAAUGAUUACAUAAGCCAUCCAAAGGUCGUGAGUUCGAGCCUCACAGGGAGCA